rnacentral:rRNA from 1 species
CAGUAGCCGCGGUAAUACGAAGGGUGCAAGCGCUAAUCGGAAUUACUGGGCGUAAAGCGUGCGUAGGCGGUGAGUUAAGUCUGCUGUGAAAUCCCCGGGCUCAACCUGGGAAUGGCAGUGGAUACUGGCUCGCUAGAGUGUGUCAGAGGAUGGUGGAAUUCCCGGUGUAGCGGUGAAAUGCGUAGAGAUCGGGAGGAACAUCAGUGGCGAAGGCGGCCAUCUGGGACAACACUGACGCUGAGGCACGAAAGCGUGGGGAGCAAACAGGAUUAGAUACCCGCGUAGUCCCUGUCUCUUAUCC